GACGAACGCUGGCGGCGUGCCUAAUACAUGCAAGUAGAACGCUGAAGAGAGGAGCUUGCUCUUCUUGGAUGAGUUGCGAACGGGUGAGUAACGCGUAGGUAACCUGCCUUGUAGCGGGGGAUAACUGUUGGAAACGAUAGCUAAUACCGCAUAACAAUGGAUGACACAUGUCAUUUAUUUGAAAGGGGCAAUUGCUCCACUACAAGAUGGACCUGCGUUGUAUUAGCUAGUAGGUGAGGUAAUGGCUCACCUAGGCGACGAUACAUAGCCGACCUGAGAGGGUGAUCGGCCAAACUGGGACUGAGACACGGCCCAGACUCCUACGGGAGGCAGCAGUAGGGAAUCUUCGGCAAUGGGGGCAACCCUGACCGAGCAACGCCGCGUGAGUGAAGAAGGUUUUCGGAUCGUAAAGCUCUGAUGUAAGUCAAGAACGGGUGUGAGAGUGGAAAGUUCACACUGUGACGGUAGCUUACCAGAAAGGGACGGCUAACUACGUG
rnacentral:rRNA from 1 species